rnacentral:lncRNA from 1 species
AUGCACAGUGGGACGAUGAUCAUUCCCCACCCCUCGGCCCCGCCCCUGGGCGGUGCUUUGCGUCGGUUCCGCAGCUCGGGCGCAUGCGCGGUUCCGCGGAGGACGAGCCAGCCCAGAGGGCGUUCCGGCGGGCUUCCCGCCAGCCAGAGCGGCUCCUGUGCCGCCCGCCCGCAGCCACGGCUGCCCCACCCGGUCCCAAAAACGGCCAUUAGCGCUCCGAUAGCGGAUAUUACCGCGAACAGGGCCCCCCGGAAGUGCCGGAGAGUCCCCGAGAAGUUCAUCUCUAUGGUCUUUCCGUCCCCCAGAAUACCGGAAAUGGCUAUCAGUCCUCCGGAAGGUCAUCUCGAUGGCAUUUCGGUCCUCCAGGAUACCGGAAGCGACCAUCAGUCUUCCGGAAGUCCAUCUCGAUGGCAUUUCAGUCCUCCAGGAUACCGGAAGCGACCAUCAGUCCUCCGGAAGUCCACCUCGAUGGCCUUUUGGUCCUCCAGGACGCCGGAAGCGCCUAUCAGUCCUCCGGAAGUCCACCUCGAUGGCCUUUCGGUCCUCCAGGACGCCGGAAGUGAUCAUCAGUCCUCCGGAAGUCCACCUCGAUGGCCUUUCGGUCCUCCAGGACGCCGGAAGCGCCUAUCAGUCCUCCGGAAGUCCAUCUCGAUGGCCUUUCGGUCCUCCAGGACGCCGGAAGCGCCUAUCAGUCCUCCGGAAGUCCGUCUCGAUGGCCUUUCGGUCCUCCAGGACGCCGGAAGCGCCUAUCAGUCCUCCGGAAGUCCGUCUCGAUGGCCUUUCGGUCCUCCAGGACGCCGGAAGCGCCUAUCAGUCCUCCGGAAGUCCACCUCGAUGGCCUUUCGGUCCUCCAGGACGCCGGAAGCGCCUAUCAGUCCUCCGGAAGUCCACCUCGAUGGCCUUUUGGUCCUCCAGGACGCCGGAAGCGCCUAUCAGUCCUCCGGAAGUCCACCUCGAUGGCCUUUCGGUCCUCCAGGACGCCGGAAGCGCCUAUCAGUCCUCCGGAAGUCCACCUCGAUGGCCUUUUGGUCCUCCAGGACGCCGGAAGCGCCUAUCAGUCCUCCGGAAGUCCAUCUCGAUGGCCUUUCGGUCCUCCAGGACGCCGGAAGUGACCAUCAGUCCUCCGGAAGUCUAUCUCGAUGGCUCUAUGGUCCUCCAGGACACUAG